CCUCCCAUUUGACUACCACAUUUUCUCCUACUAACAGAAUUUAGUAGCUAUGCUUGUGGGAUAAAGUAAAAUUGCCAUGAUCUGCAGAGGGAGGAUUUCUUUGAGAACCUCUUAAUGAAAUGACUGAACAAAGGGGA